GACGAACGCUGGCGGCGUGCCUAACACAUGCAAGUCGAACGGAAAGGCUCCAGCUUGCUGGAGUACUCGAGUGGCGAACGGGUGAGUAACACGUGGGUAAUCUGCCCUGCACUCUGGGAUAAGCCUGGGAAACUGGGUCUAAUACUGGAUAUGACCUUUCUCCUUAUGGGGUUUGGUGGAAAGUUUUUCGGUGUAGGAUGAGCCCGCGGCCUAUCAGCUUGUUGGUGGGGUGAUGGCCUACCAAGGCGACGACGGGUAGCCGGCCUGAGAGGGUGAUCGGCCACAUUGGGACUGAGAUACGGCCCAGACUCCUACGGGAGGCAGCAGUGGGGAAUAUUGCACAAUGGGCGGAAGCCUGAUGCAGCGACGCCGCGUGAGGGAUGACGGCCUUCGGGUUGUAAACCUCUUUCAGCAGGGACGAAGCGUAAGUGACGGUACCUGCAGAAGAAGCACCGGCUAACUACGUG
rnacentral:rRNA from 1 species